GGGAGGCCGCGGUGCUGCAGGGAGGUGGGUUUUGGGAGCGGGGCCGUGUUCCCAUGCUCACGAGGGGCUGUGUAUCAGCACUGACCGUCAGGACGUUCCCCUUUACAAUCCAGAGGGUGAGAAACCGUCCUCAGCUCUGUCCUGUCUCCUUACCUGCUGUGACAUUAGGGUGACAGGGACCUUCCAGUUCAGAAAUGCCAUAGGAUAUUUCAGUCAUGGCAUUUUCCCAGAGCUUUGACCUCACUAAAUGAAGUCACAGCACAACUCCAAGGCCCAGGACAUUUAAGGAUGCUGUUGACAACUGAUGCCGAAUAAUUCUGGUGCCAUCAUAUCACUCGCAGCUAAAAUCACACCACUCCUGCUUUAUCAGCGCAGCACCACUAACUCCAGCAGACUGGGUGAGCCGGCGAAGAGGUUUUUCCACACGUCCUUUUCCUCGGUCACAACUGCCAAAGCUGCUCGGUGCCGCACCGGGGACUGCUCGUGCCUGGACAGCCGGGACCCCCGCUCAUUUCAGGCAAUACUGAGUUCUCAUCAAGCCUGAGAAAGAAGCACGGAGGUUCAGGAGACUGAAACACUUUGGCCGUGCAGCUCCCGAGGAGAAGGGUUUAUCAGGAGACACAGCUCUUCCUCAUUCUGAACCAACAUUUCCUGUGAUUUCAGCAAUGAUUUUCAAGAUACUGUGGGGUGCACAAUUUAACAUGCAGCAAGCACGUUGAGCAGAGCUGCUAUUCCCCACCCCCUCCAUGAUUACUCUUUGCAAGUCCCUCCUUUGUGGUACCUUCACUUAAAAUUCUCAUAAUUUGUAUUUUUAUUCUUCUGACAUACAAGUACCAUUUAAAAUGGUUCUCCCAUCGGUAACGUUACUCAAACAACAGUCCGGGGAUCCCUAGUUGACAGCAGGGAGCAGCAACAUAGAUUGAUAUCUCUGUAAGUAGGCAAAAAAUUGACACCCAACUCAGCAGAGUUCCCAGUUUCGAAGAAUUCCCACACACCGACUAUUUGUGCAUUCAUUUGAAGAGGAAAGGAAGCAGUCAACACUGCUAUUCAAAAAAAUAAACAGA
rnacentral:lncRNA from 1 species